AUAGGCAGAAGCGGCCGCGCCUUGUGUUUGUGCAGUUAGGCGCUAAACCCUCCUUUUCUUUACAGUAAGAAAUUACCCUACAGCUCAGAGCAAUGCCAGUGUGGGUACAGUUUGUGCUCAUUUUAGCAGCUUGGAAAGGUGCCCAGUCCCAGAUGCAGCUGGUGGAGUCCGGGGGGGCUGUUAGAAAUGAAGGGGAGUCCAUCCGCCUCUCCUGUAAAGGCUCCGGCUUCCGCUUCAGCAGCUACAACAUGUUCUGGUACCGGCAGAGUCCCGGGAAGAGCCCGGAGUUUGUCUCACGUAUUUACGACGAUGGGUCUAGUCCGUAUUACGCGUCUUGGGUUCAAGGUCGAUUCACCAUCUCCAGAGACAACGCCAAGAGCGAGCUGUACCUGGGAAUGAGCCGCCUGAGACGGGAGGACACCGCCCGGUAUCACUGCGCUGCUACAGACGCACAACGCGGCGCAGCCUGUGGGAGCUGGAACAAAAACCUCCGGGUCCCAGUCUCAGAGGGGCUGCAGGGCCGCAGUAACUUUAACCCAGAUGAGUUCUGCCCAAGCAGAGCCAGACAGUUCCCUUAUCCUGGACUGUGUCAUCUCUGGGUAUAACAUCAAUGACCACCAUUUGAGCUGGAUCCGACAAGGCCCUGGGAAAGGUCCGGUCUGGCUAGCAGCCUUCAGAACAGGUUACACCACCUACAUCGCGAAUGAGUUCAAAGGACAGGUUACCCCAUCCACCAGUGGUGCCACUGACAAGCUAAAGAGAGACAGACUCUCCGCGGCAGACACAGCUACUUCGUACUCUGCCAGCCAUGCACAGUGGUCGCUGCCUGGCUUCCUCUCCUACAAUAUCCCUUGUGGAACUGGCCUCCUCUCACUCAACCCAUUUUUCUCUGUGCAUGAACUUCACCCCUGGUACAAGGCCAGUAGAGGGGCCAAGCAUCAUCGGACUCUCACACCAGCGCUCAGAGUAGGGGCUCCUUGGGGAACAGGCCUUGCUCUCCUGCCUCUCCAAAGGUAGAAUUUUACCCAGCGAUUUGUGGCUUUGGUCUCUGCAAUUUCAACGUGUGUCGUUCAAAUCAACUUGUGACCGGGAAGCAGCAUCGUUGCAGGUUAGGCCACCAAAGUGGGAAUCAAGAGAAUUUGUAGAUCAGUGUCACAGCCUAGAACAGAACCAAUGUGAAGUGACGCAAGUGACUCCCUUUGUCUGGCUUGUCUGUUUAGAGUGAAACCUCUUGGGUGCAAGGCCUGUCUCCUGUGGCGCGUAGGGGCAGCACCCAACACACUGAAAUCCUGAUCUUGGUUGGGACCCUUCAGGUGUUACUAAAAUGCCAAGAAUAAUGACCCGUGGAUUUGAAUGGCAGAAAGGACCCUUACAUAAGACCAUCCCACCCAGUGGGUUCUGCAUCCAGAAGAAAUGUUGAACUGGAGCACUCAUGUUUUAAGGAGCAUGGAGGACAGAGUCACAGAUUUCUGAAGUUGGAAAAAAAACAUUCUGAGAACAUUUUGUCUCUGUGCAUGACACACAUGCCAGGCAUUUUUGUAACAAACUUUUAUUUGAGCCAAAGCAUGUCUUUUGAGCUGCAGUAUAUGUAUCUGAUAUUGGUGACAAUACUGGACAGAGAGGGAGGUGAUCUUGACUCCAAUUCUAAUCUGCCACCAGUCUGCAAUGGUUGAUAGUGAACAUGAAUUCCUUGGUGCAGUAGUCUCCAGAGGGCAGCAGAACUUGAGGAAUGAGACAGAGAAGUCUAUUUAGUAGUGACCAUCCGGAAGUAGGAAAGGGUCAGGAAUUGAGAGCAUGCGGUGUCCUGUACAAUGACCAUGAGUUGUUAACACAGGUAGGGAAUGAGACAGUGUUCGCUAUACCCGCCAUUGAGGAAAUGAUAUAAUAAUAUCUCUGUUCUCUUUCUUUUACAAGCUGGGUGGCCGUGAUCACUUUAACCCAUUCAAGUUCUGCAGAGGCAGAGCCAGAGAACUCCAUUACGCUGGACUGCACUGUUUCUGGGUACAAUGUUAAUGACCGUCAUAUGCAAUGGUUGCGCCUUCCCCAAGGGGAAAAUAUGGUCCAGAUAGCAUCCUUCAGACCAAGUUACCCCAUCUACAUCUCGGAUGAAUUCAAAGGACAUGUCACCUCCUCCACUGGCGGCUCCACUGACAAGCUAACGAUAGACAGUCUCACAUCUGCAGACACCGCUACUUACCACUGUGCGACAAAUGCACAGUGAUCGCUGCCUGGCUUCCUCUCCUACAGCAUCUCCCCUGGAACGGGCCUCCUCUCACUUAGCCAAUCUCUCUCUCACAUGAACUUCACCCCUCAGCAUAUGG